rnacentral:tRNA from 1 species
GGGAGUAUAGCUUAGUGGUAGGGCAUUCGACAGCAGAUCGAGAGGUCCCCGGUUUAAACCUGGGUGCCCCCU